CACCGGCUCCAGCUAAGCACUCUGUGAUAAUUUUUCUUAGCAGUGUCUUGUGGCCUUGCAGAGGAAAAUGGAACUUGGUAUUCCUUUCCCCUUUGUGCCAGUCAUGUGCUUCCUGAUGCCAGGCCUCCCUCCAGCCCUCCCAUCACAGGGAAACUAGUACAGACCACCCCCACAGACCUGUGGACUGACACCUGACUACCUUUGGGGGCAUCUGACCUUGCCUGCGGUCCCACGGUGACUCACAGUGAAACUAAGAUGCACAGCUCGGGUAGGAACCUGCUGGCCCAGCAAGAGAAUCUCUUCUUCGGGGACCCAUUAAGCUAGGCUCUGUCAGAUUGCUGGCCACAGUCCUCGAAAUCAAUUUCGUGACACAUUAAUGGGUUGUGAUUCUGAGUUUGUAAAUAGUUGGUCUGUUUGGACAUUGAAGUUACCCACGAUGAUGGCAAGACUUGGAAUGAAGUGGUGCCAAAGUCUUCAAUGAAUAUGGAGGGGCAGAGGCACAGCUCCAUGCAUUUGUCCUCGUGAAUGGCCUGUGAUUUCAGCACAAUCUAUUAGGUAGUAAUUCCAAUAUCCAAUUGAAGAAUAGAAAGGACUCCCCUGACGCACCAUGGGUAUGUAUCAUUUAAGCAAAAACAAAAGACAAAAGACAGUGGAUACUGAACAACCAGAUUCCCGUUUGUAAAACCUUGGAUCCAUAGUUUCCUCUAAUCCCACAGAAGGUUUUCUCAGACUCUGGCUGUCAGAGAGGAGAACUAUGAACUCACCUACUCAUUCAUGCUGCCCAGAACCAGAUGCACAAAGAACAAACAAGUUUCCCAGCAGGACUCAAAAUAGAAGGGAUGGUGACUGCAUGCCUUACCAUUCGGGAUCCUCUUCUUCCCGGAGAACUCCGCGCAGGCAGGCUUGGAGAGGGAAUGAAUUGAUCUGGCAUCGUGAAGAUUUGUUCAGCCUUCCCUGAGUGCAUCUUCUGACUCCUGGGGUAGGUAAGAAAUGGAGGGGCUCCUGGAGUCACCUUCAAGGCAGAUGAAGAGGAGCUAUGGAGGCCCUUUGAAGCAUGGCCCCUGGGCAUGGGAUCUGGUGAGAAACCUCCUUCCCAGCUUUGCCACUGAAACCAUGGAUUUUAAACUUCGGCAGAGUUUCCAAGCUUUCAUUUCCCAUCUAUCAAUAGGGAUAAUAAUAAUAAUAUACCUGUAUGACCUUGUUCACAGGUUUGCUGUCAAGGUCAAAUAAGACAAGCAAAAGUACCUUGUAGAUCCAGUAUUAUACUAGUUAAGAAGAAAGACUGGAGCCCAGUGGUCCGGAUUAAGUCCGCACACCUCCCCCAGCUCCACUAUGCACUUGUUGGGUGACCUUGGACAAGUUAUUUAACCUCCCUAUAACUCAGUUUCUUCCUUUACAAAAUAAGAAUGAGACUAGGACUUUCAUCAUAUGGUUAUGAGGAUUCAAAUGAGUUAAAUGUAAAGCACUCAGGCCAGGCGUGGUGGCUCACACCUGUAAUCCCAGCACUU
rnacentral:lncRNA from 1 species